GACGAACGCUGGCGGCGUGCUUAACACAUGCGAGUCGAACGAAGAGCGAUGGAAGCUUGCUUCUAUCAUUCUUAGUGGCGAACGGGUGAGUAACGCGUAAUCAACCUGCCCUUCAGAGGGGGACAACAGUUGGAAACGACUGCUAAUACCGCAUACGAUCUAAUCUCGGCAUCGAGGAUAGAUGAAAGGUGGCCUCUACAUGUAAGCUAUCACUGAAGGAGGGGAUUGCGUCUGAUUAGCUAGUUGGAGGGGUAACGGCCCACCAAGGCGAUGCUCAGUAGCCGGUCUGAGAGGAUGAACGGCCACAUUGGGACUGAGACACGGCCCAGACUCCUACGGGAGGCAGCAGUGGGGAAUCUUCCGCAAGGGACGAAAGUCUGACGGAGCAACGCCGCGUGAGUGAUGACGGCCUUCGGGUUGUAAAGCUCUGUUAAUCGGGACGAAAGGCCUUCUUGCGAAUAGGGAGAAGGAUUGACGGUACCGGAAGAGAAAGCCACGGCUAACUACGUG
rnacentral:rRNA from 1 species